rnacentral:lncRNA from 1 species
UAUGCCUUGUAAAACUUCGAACCCAGAAGAUCCCAAUUAUCUGCCAUAUCUUAGCUACUGCUGGUCUCAUGAUACUUGCUACGAAAAGCAUAAUGUUGGUACCACUAUAUAUCAAAAUCACCCACAGUAACUGGGAAACAUCCAUAAUGUCUGGACAUUUUGCUUUCUUUUCAUGUGUGGGCAUAUUUACUCCUUGAUUUUCACAUGCUUGUUUCAAAUAUUCCCCACAUUUCUUUUUACUUAAUACACGUCAGGGUCCCUUAACUUGCCUGAUAUUUCACAGGGAAAUUGCUGUCUCUAUUCCUUCCCCUCAGUUGAGAACCAUUGAGAAAAGGUCAUCUACAUGAUGUGUCUCUGAGGCCUCACCUCCUGCUACCUCUGCAGACCACCCCACACUCCAUCUGUCCUCACCAUUCUAUGGCUGCUCGCCUGAGAAUGUUUAACUGAAAAAAAUUCAACUUACAAGUGAAGAUUGUGCUGUAAAUGGAAAGUACAAACUGGAUUUGGGGAACCCAGUAAAAAAUGUACAGACCUGAAAAUGAGGCCCAGAGCAGCAGUGCCUCCCAAGAUCACACAUCUGGAACCCAGGGAAGUUUUAGGUGGUAUUCCAAGUUACAUCUUACUCCUUCUUGUAAUUCUUCCAUCUCUAAGUCUGUGUAUCAGACACAUGUGACAUCAGCCCACAGGUGUUAUAGGCAUUAUGACAUAUGAACCUGAAAAUGUCCCUAGGAAGCUAUUUUUAGCACCAUCUCCAAUGUGCAGGUUGGGAAACUGGGGAGAUCUUAAGAGGCACAGUGGCUUUUGC